rnacentral:lncRNA from 1 species
UAGUUCUAAGAUGCCAAAUGCAUGUAUGAAGUGACCCUUCUAGCAUUACAUUUGCCACCCAUUAUUGCACAUCAUUUGAUAAAUUCUUGUUGAACAUAGUGUGGCUCAAAGUAUAAACAGCCAGUCAAAUGACAUGUAAGGGUGGAAACCUCAAACCUUAAAAAAAGAAACAAAACAAUCAAAGGGGUUUCCCACUUGUUUAAUGGAGGCUUUCCACAUGCAAGGUUAGGACCAAG